GAAGGUGGCCUGUGAGGGUUGCUGGAGGUAUCAGAAGUGCGAAUGCUGACAUAAGUAACGAUAAAGCGGGUGAAAAGCCCGCUCGCCGGAAGACCAAGGGUUCCUGUCCAACGUUAAUCGGGGCAGGGUGAGUCGACCCCUAAGGCGAGGCCGAAAGGCGUAGUCGAUGGGAAACGGGUUAAUAUUCCCGUACUUGGUGUUACUGCGAAGGGGGGACGGAGAAGGCUAUGUUGGCCGGGCGACGGUUGUCCCGGUUUAAGCGUGUAGGUGUGUGUUCCAGGUAAAUCCGGUUCACUUUAACACUGAGGCGUGACGACGAGGCACUACGGUGCUGAAGCAACAAAUGCCCUGCUUCCAGGAAAAGCCUCUAAGCAUCAGGUAACAUCAAAUCGUACCCCAAACCGACACAGGUGGUCAGGUAGAGAAUACCAAGGCGCUUGAGAGAACUCGGGUGAAGGAACUAGGCAAAAUGGUGCCGUAACUUCGGGAGAAGGCACGCUGACACGUAGGUGAAGUGAUUUACUCACGGAGCUGAAGUCAGUCGAAGAUACCAGCUGGCUGCAACUGUUUAUUAAAAACACAGCACUGUGCAAACACGAAAGUGGACGUAUACGGUGUGACGCCUGCCCGGUGCCGGAAGGUUAAUUGAUGGGGUCAGCGCAAGCGAAGCUCCUGAUCGAAGCCCCGGUAAACGGCGGCCGUAACUAUAACGGUCCUAAGGUAGCGAAAUUCCUUGUCGGGUAAGUUCCGACCUGCACGAAUGGCGUAAUGAUGGCCAGGCUGUCUCCACCCGAGACUCAGUGAAAUUGAACUCGCUGUGAAGAUGCAGUGUACCCGCGGCAAGACGGAAAGACCCCGUGAACCUUUACUAUAGCUUGACACUGAACAUUGAGCCUUGAUGUGUAGGAUAGGUGGGAGGCUUUGAAGUGUGGACGCCAGUCUGCAUGGAGCCGACCUUGAAAUACCACCCUUUAAUGUUUGAUGUUCUAACGUGGACCCGUAAUCCGGGUUGCGGACAGUGUCUGGUGGGUAGUUUGACUGGGGCGGUCUCCUCCUAAAGAGUAACGGAGGAGCACGAAGGUUGGCUAAUCCUGGUCGGACAUCAGGAGGUUAGUGCAAUGGCAUAAGCCAGCUUGACUGCGAGCGUGACGGCGCGAGCAGGUGCGAAAGCAGGUCAUAGUGAUCCGGUGGUUCUGAAUGGAAGGGCCAUCGCUCAACGGAUAAAAGGUACUCCGGGGAUAACAGGCUGAUACCGCCCAAGAGUUCAUAUCGACGGCGGUGUUUGGCACCUCGAUGUCGGCUCAUCACAUCCUGGGGCUGAAGUAGGUCCCAAGGGUAUGGCUGUUCGCCAUUUAAAGUGGUACGCGAGCUGGGUUUAGAACGUCGUGAGACAGUUCGGUCCCUAUCUGCCGUGGGCGCUGGAGAACUGAGGGGGGCUGCUCCUAGUACGAGAGGACCGGAGUGGACGCAUCACUGGUGUUCGGGUUGUCAUGCCAAUGGCACUGCCCGGUAGCUAAAUGCGGAAGAGAUAAGUGCUGAAAGCAUCUAAGCACGAAACUUGCCCCGAGAUGAGUUCUCCCUGAGACUUUAGGUCUCCUGAAGGAACGUUGAAGACGACGACGUUGAUAGGCCGGGUGUGUAAGCGCAGCGAUGCGUUGAGCUAACCGGUACUAAUGAACCGUGAGGCUUAACCUUACAACGCCGAAG
rnacentral:rRNA from 2 species